rnacentral:rRNA from 1 species
GAGUUUGAUCCUGGCUCAGAACGAACGCUGGCGGCAGGCCUAACACAUGCAAGUCGAGCGCGCCUUUCGGGGUGAGCGGCGGACGGGUUAGUAGCGCGUGGGAAUAUGCCCAAAGGUACGGAAUAGCCUCUGGAAACGGAGAGUAAUACCGUAUGUGCCCUUCGGGGGAAAGAUUUAUCGCCUUUGGAUUAGCCCGCGUUAGAUUAGGUAGUUGGUGGGGUAAUGGCCUACCAAGCCUACGAUCUAUAGCUGGUUUUAGAGGAUGAUCAGCAACACUGGGACUGAGACACGGCCCAGACUCCUACGGGAGGCAGCAGUGGGGAAUCUUGGACAAUGGGGGCAACCCUGAUCCAGCCAUGCCGCGUGAGUGAUGAAGGCCUUAGGGUCGUAAAGCUCUUUCGCCUGUGAAGAUAAUGACGGUAGCAGGUAAAGAAACCCCGGCUAACUCCGUGCCAGCAGCCGCGGUAAUACGGAGGGGGUUAGCGUUGUUCGGAAUUACUGGGCGUAAAGCGCACGUAGGCGGACCAGAAAGUUGGGGGUGAAAUCCCGGGGCUCAACCCCGGAACUGCCUCCAAAACUAUUGGUCUAGAGUUCGAGAGAGGUGAGUGGAAUUCCAAGUGUAGAGGUGAAAUUCGUAGAUAUUUGGAGGAACACCAGUGGCGAAGGCGGCUCACUGGCUCGAUACUGACGCUGAGGUGCGAAAGUGUGGGGAGCAAACAGGAUUAGAUACCCUGGUAGUC